UCAUGCUCUGCAUGGUUGGUUGAAUGAAUGAACUAAUUAUCCAUCUGGGUGAAAAUUGAGACAAUAUGCAUGGCCAAGCACUUGGACAAAUUUCAGGUGGAACUGAGACUUAAAAGGAAAAAAUGGAAAAUGCAUGAAGACAGUGAGGAUGAAGACCUUUAUGAUGAUCCAUUUCCACUUAAUGAAUAGCAUCAACCAUGAGCUGGUUGAAGAGGCAUUUGGGGGUAGCGAGGAGCAGAGAGAGAACUUUCCAAUCACACUAUCUGCAUUUUUGAAAGGCUGACACGGCUCUUGGUUCUCAAAUCAGCCUCAAAAUAGCCUGAAAAGCCUGGAGUCCACUCACAGAAGAGCAGACCUCCUCCGGUGUGCACCAUGCUGAUGGCACCACCUUACACACUCAGGCGUGGUGCAAAAACCCCCACGGGGGACACCUCACACCUUAUGUGGAUCAAAUGCUCCUUCCCUGAUCCUCUGUGGGGAACUUCCUUUUCUCUAAUCCUAGAUCUUUUCAAAAAUUCUAACCAAAAUAAAAUUUAAAAAGAAGA
rnacentral:antisense_RNA from 1 species